rnacentral:rRNA from 1 species
AACGAACGCUGGCGGCAUGCCUAACACAUGCAAGUCGAACGAGACCUUCGGGUCUAGUGGCGCACGGGCGCGUAACGCGUGGGAACCUGCCCUUAGGUUCGGAAUAACUCCCCGAAAGGGGUGCUAAUACCGGAUAAUGUCUUCGGACCAAAGAUUUAUCGCCCUUGGAUGGGCCCGCGUUGGAUUAGCUAGUUGGUAGGGUAAAAGCCUACCAAGGCGACGAUCCAUAGCUGGUCUGAGAGGAUGAUCAGCCACACUGGGACUGAGACACGGCCCAGACUCCUACGGGAAGCAGCAGUGGGGAAUAUUGGACAAUGGGCGAAAGCCUGAUCCAGCAAUGCCGCGUGAGUGAUGAAGGCCUUAGGGUUGUAAAGCUCUUUUACCCGGGAUGAUAAUGACAGUACCGGGAGAAUAAGCUCCGGCUAACUCCGUG